rnacentral:rRNA from 1 species
GGUUAAGCGACUAAGCGUACACGGUGGAUGCCCUGGCAGUCAGAGGCGAUGAAGGACGUGCUAAUCUGCGAAAAGCGCCGGCGAGGUGAUAUGAACCUUUGACCCGGCGAUGUCCGAAUGGGGAAACCCAGUGUGUUCCGACACACUAUCGUUAACUGAAUACAUAGGUUAACGAGGCGAACCGGGGGAACUGAAACAUCUAAGUACCCCGAGGAAAAGAAAUCAACCGAGAUUCCCCCAGUAGCGGCGAGCGAACGGGGAGCAGCCCAGAGUCUGAAUCAGCUUGUGUGUUAGUGGAAGCGUCUGGAAAGUCGCACGGUACAGGGUGAAAGUCCCGUACACGAAAGCACACAGGCUGUGAACUCGAAGAGUAGGGCGGGACACGUGGUAUCCUGUCUGAAUAUGGGGGGACCAUCCUCCAAGGCUAAAUACUCCUGACUGACCGAUAGUGAACCAGUACCGUGAGGGAAAGGCGAAAAGAACCCCGGCGAGGGGAGUGAAAAAGAACCUGAAACCGUGUACGUACAAGCAGUGGGAGCCUCUUUUAUGGGGUGACUGCGUACCUUUUGUAUAAUGGGUCAGCGACUUAUAUUCUGUAGCAAGGUUAACCGUAUAGGGGAGCCGAAGGGAAACCGAGUCUUAACUGGGCGUUAAGUUGCAGGGUAUAGACCCGAAACCCGGUGAUCUAGCCAUGGGCAGGUUGAAGGUUGGGUAACACUAACUGGAGGACCGAACCGACUAAUGUUGAAAAAUUAGCGGAUGACUUGUGGCUGGGGGUGAAAGGCCAAUCAAACCGGGAGAUAGCUGGUUCUCCCCGAAAGCUAUUUAGGUAGCGCCUCGUGAACUCAUCUUCGGGGGUAGAGCACUGUUUCGGCUAGGGGGCCAUCCCGGCUUACCAACCCGAUGCAAACUACGAAUACCGAAGAAUGUUAUCACGGGAGACACACGGCGGGUGCUAACGUCCGUCGUGAAGAGGGAAACAACCCAGACCGCCAGCUAAGGUCCCAAAGUCAUGGUUAAGUGGGAAACGAUGUGGGAAGGCACAGACAGCCAGGAUGUUGGCUUAGAAGCAGCCAUCAUUUAAAGAAAGCGUAAUAGCUCACUGGUCGAGUCGGCCUGCGCGGAAGAUGUAACGGGGCUAAACCAUGCACCGAAGCUGCGGCAGCGACGCUUAUGCGUUGUUGGGUAGGGGAGCGUUCUGUAAGCCGUUGAAGGUGUCCUGUGAGGGGUGCUGGAGGUAUCAGAAGUGCGAAUGCUGACAUAAGUAACGAUAAAGCGGGUGAAAAGCCCGCUCGCCGGAAGACCAAGGGUUCCUGUCCAACGUUAAUCGGGGCAGGGUGAGUCGACCCCUAAGGCGAGGCCGAAAGGCGUAGUCGAUGGGAAACAGGUUAAUAUUCCUGUACUUGGUGUUACUGCGAAGGGGGGACGGAGAAGGCUAUGUUAGCCGGGCGACGGUUGUCCCGGUUUAAGCAUGUAGGCGGAGGUUCCAGGUAAAUCCGGUUCCUUGUUAACGCUGAGGUGUGAUGACGAGGCACUACGGUGCUGAAGUAACAAAUGCCCUGCUUCCAGGAAAAGCCUCUAAGCAUCAGGUAACAUCAAAUCGUACCCCAAACCGACACAGGUGGUCAGGUAGAGAAUACCAAGGCGCUUGAGAGAACUCGGGUGAAGGAACUAGGCAAAAUGGUGCCGUAACUUCGGGAGAAGGCACGCUGAUAUGUAGGUGAAGUCCCUGCGGAUGGAGCUGAAAUCAGUCGAAGAUACCAGCUGGCUGCAACUGUUUAUUAAAAACACAGCACUGUGCAAACACGAAAGUGGACGUAUACGGUGUGACGCCUGCCCGGUGCCGGAAGGUUAAUUGAUGGGGUUAGCGG